rnacentral:rRNA from 1 species
GACGAACGCUGGCGGCGUGCUUAACACAUGCAAGUCGAACGGAAAGGCCCUGCUUUUGUGGGGUGCUCGAGUGGCGAACGGGUGAGUAACACGUGAGUAACCUGCCCUUGACUUAGGGAUAACUUCAGGAAACAGGGGCUCAUACAGGAUAGGAGAUCCUGCUGCACGGUGGGGGUUGGAAAGAUUCGGCGGUUGGGGAUGGACUGGCGGCUUAUCAGCUUGUUGGUGGGGUAGUGGCGUACCAAGGCUUUGACGGGUAGCCGGCCUGGGAGGGUGACCGGCCUCAAUGGUACUGAGGGACGGACCAGACGCGAACGGGAGGCAGCAGUGGAGAAUAUUGCGCAGUGGGCGGGAGCGUGUGGUAGCAGCGCCGCGUGCGUGAUGACGGCCUACGGGGUGUAAACCGCUGUCGCAUGUGACGAAGCGUGAGUGACGGUAAUUGGUAAAGAAGCACCGGCUAACUACGUG